rnacentral:rRNA from 1 species
GGUGCAGUGGUUGUCGUCAGCUCGUGUCGUGAGAUGUUGGGUUAAGUCCCGCAACGAGCGCAACCCUCGUCCUAUGUUGCCAGCGGGUCAUGCCGGGGACUCAUGGGAGACUGCCGGGGUCAACUCGGAGGAAGGUGGGGAUGACGUCAAAUCAUCAUGCCCCUUAUGUCUUGGGCUUCACGCAUGCUACAAUGGCCGGUACAAAGGGCUGCGAUACCGCGAGGUGGAGCGAAUCCCAGAAAGCCGGUCUCAGUUCGGAUUGGGGUCUGCAACUCGACCCCAUGAAGUCGGAGUCGCUAGUAAUCGCAGAUCAGCAACGCUGCGGUGAAUACGUUCCCGGGCCUU